CCCUUAGAUGUUCUGGGCCGCACACGCGCUACACUGAAGGAGGCAGCAUGUACUCCUGGAUCGAAAGAUUUGGGUAACCCGCGAAUCUCCUUCGUGCUAGGGAUUGAGGUAUGCAAUUAUCCUUCAUGAACGAGGAAUUCCCAGUAAGUGCAAGUCAUAAGCUUGCGCUGACUACGUCCCUGCCCUUUGUACAUACCGCCCGUCGCUACUACCGAUUGAAUGAUUUAGUGAGGACUUCGGACUGGGACCGAUGCGGCUUUCGGGCUGCGUCGGUAUUCUGGAAAGAUGUCCAAACUGUAUCAUUUAGAGGAAGUAAAAGUCGUAACA
rnacentral:rRNA from 1 species